rnacentral:rRNA from 1 species
UACAGAGGGUGCGAGCGUUGUCCGGAAUCACUGGGCGUAAAGGGCGCGUAGGCGGCUUGGUAAGCGUGCGGUGAAAGCUCGAGGCUCAACCUCGAGUCUGCCGUGCGAACCUGCCGAGCUGGAGCACGGUAGAGGCACAUGGAAUUCCGGGUGUAGCGGUGGAAUGCGUAGAGAUCCGGAAGAACACCGGUGGCGAAGGCGGUGUGCUGGGCCGUAGCUGACGCUGAUGCGCGACAGCGUGGGGAGCAAACAGG